GUGGGGAAUAUUGGGCAAUGGGGGAAACCCUGACCCAGCGACGCCGCGUGAGGGAAGAAGGCCUUAGGGUCGUAAACCUCUGUUGUGUGGGAAGAAGAGCGUGACGGUACCACACGAGGAAGUCCCGGCUAACUACGUGCCAGCAGCCGCGGUAAUACGUAGGGGACGAGCGUUGUCCGGAUUUACUGGGCGUAAAGGGCGCGUAGGCGGUCAUUUAAGUCAGCUGUGAAAUGGUUUGGCUUAACCGGAUCAUGCGGUUGAAACUGGAUGACUGGAGUGCUGGAGAGGCAAGUGGAAUUCCCAGUGUAGCGGUGAAAUGCGUAGAUAUUGGGAAGAACACCGGUGGCGAAGGCGACUUGCUGGCCAGUAACUGACGCUGAGGCGCGAAAGCGUGGGGAGCAAACAGGAUUAGAAACCCCGGUAGUCC
rnacentral:rRNA from 1 species